CAGUAGCCACGGGAACACCAGCACCUCGAGUGGUCAGGAGGUUUAUUGGGCCUAAAGCAUCCGUAGCCGGUUGCAUAAGUUUUCGGUUAAAUCUAUGCGCUUAACGUAUAGGCCGCCGAAAAUACUGUGCAGCUAGGGAGUGGGAGAGGUACACGGUACUCGAUAGGAAGGGGUAAAAUCCUUUGAUCUAUUGAUGACCACCUGUGGCGAAGGCGGUGUACCAGAACACGUUCGACGGUGAGGGAUGAAAGCUGGGGGAGCAAACCGGAUUAGAUACCCCUGUAGUCCCUGUCUCUUAUAC
rnacentral:rRNA from 1 species